rnacentral:piRNA from 1 species
UAGUGAACACUAAAUGGUAGUCAGGAUGC